UGGAGGUGUGCAGAAGCUUGCAGCGGCGGCGCAGGGAUGGAUGCAGGGAGGUGCGGAGCUACUGUUGCCGGUCGCUUCGACGAUCUGCUGCUGCUGGCCAGCACUCCAGGCCCGCGAGAACCGCUUCAGCCUUGGAGCUAGGGGUGGCAAGGUCUGCCUUGUCUGCAUCAACCAAGAUGACGUGUAGGUUAAAAUCGUAUCGGAGGAGGAGGAGCUGAAGGGUGUGAAGCUGGGUUACUGGGAAGAGCAGGUGCGGUAACAGACAUCACCCACGACAUCCAUAAGUGCAUCGGGUUGAAAUCUUAUCGGAGGAGGAGGAGCUGAAGGGCGUGAAGCGGGGUUACCGGAAGAGCAUGCGCCAUGACAAAUAUCAUCCACGACAUCCAGAAAUGAACCGAUUAGGCGCUCCGGUGGCUGCCAAUGGACUACGUUGUAUCCAUCAAGUGCAGCGCGGCUCCUGCUGAUUGCUCUUCUCCGAGGCCCUUGCCUAUCAGGUUAUCACUGCCCCCAUUGUCUAUUUGGUUCAGCACACAUUGCCGUGCAUCUUUUGCUUCCAAGUGUGUUGCUGGAUUAUGAAGUAAUGAAGAGUGGCAAGCAAUCUUGUCGUUCAAGUCAUUGUUUCAAUAUACACUGUCGUGUUCAAGAUCGAAUCGAUCGCCAUGUUUCCUAUUCCAGAUGUAGACUGUUGUAGUUGCAGGUACAUGUCAUGGCCCAGAAUAGACUAGCACUGCUUUCCUAUUCCAGAUGUUUCCUCGUCAAACUAUUGUGUUUUGGUGCUCAUGGUGUUUGUGGUUCACUGUGAUGAUGAAGCACUGAUUAGAUGACCCAUGCAGCCCAUUCCAGUAAACCAUUGGGAUAAAACGAGGCAUUUGUCUGAGAGAAACAAUCUUUUUUUUUUCUUUGCCCUGUGAUGCUGUUGCGGGAAGAGUAGAAAUGGUACUUUACAAUGUUGUAUGUGUCACUUGUAACCCACUCUUGGUAGUGGAGAUUGGAGAAAACAUACUUUAUAAAACUAACUGUCAUCUUUUGUUGUUCAACAGGACCCUGACCUGAUAGCAGCAUUCAGUGACCCAGAGAUUAUGGCCACUCAAUAAGAUCCCCUGUUUUCUUUAUGCUACUAUUCCUUGCUAUAGUUAGCCUUCUUGGUCAAGUCUUCAUGUUGGAGAAGAAGUGCUUAAUGUAUGUAAAUGUCUGCCUAGGAGUAAGUGUUAUCUCUUUGAAAAGUCGGAAGUCUGGAUGUAGAGUAGAGUGGUCAUAAGGGGUAUGUGAGUGCAAAUUUGAGGUGAGUAAUGGAAGGUGUGGAUUAGCUUAAUUGAAUGUUAUGAACACAUGAACAUACUAUACAGGUGAUGUACAUUUAAUUUUGCAAUCUGGCUAGUAAAGUAAUUUGAUGACAUCCUCAUGCUAGAUUACUAGCAGAGAUGAUUUUCCUAAUUCAGGGUAGUAAAGUAACUGUAUGGUUUAAAUAUUUCCUCUGUAUACAUGAAAGAAUUAUCAUGCCUUGAAAAAGUUUAGCCAUUUUUUCUUGUUUGUUUUUGCUGCUUUAGGGCGGUUUCCUGUAGAACUGGCUGCUUUAUUCUACAUUCUUCUAUUCCUACUAUAAUUUAAACAUUGAUCUGACCUUGUGUGCUUGAAACUGUGUGCAGUGAUGCGCAAACCUGCCAACUUCGGCAAGCACCAAGCCAACCUGAAGGUGGGCCCCAUCAUAGCCAAGAUGAAUGGGCCCUCUUACUGAGUGUCGUGAGCAUGUGACCAACUAGCAUUUCCGCGACCUGCGAAAGAAGGAAUUCUCCGGCCAAGUGUUGUCUUUUUUGUGCAUCUGGAGCGACACUUUGAUCUUGAGGAUCUUACUUAUGCUCUAUUUCUUGUUAGUAGCUCGUAGAAGACAAUUUGGGAUGAUGAUGGUUGUGGGUUUUGUUUGUACUGUUGAAAUGCCUGGUAUAUAUCUUGGUGAAGGAGAAUGGAUGUUUUUGCUCAGUCGAUAUUUGUUUGCUUGUGCCAGCAUUCACAACUCGUGGGCAUGGGUUUCAGAGGAUUAAAACGAGGAUAUGUUCACACA